ACAGCAGUAGCCACGGUAAUGCGUAGGUGGCAAGCGUUGUCCGGAAUUAUUGGGCGUAAAGGGCUCGCAGGCGGUUUCUUAAGUCUGAUGUGAAAGCCCCCGGCUCAACCGGGGAGGGUCAUUGGAAACUGGGAAACUUGAGUGCAGAAGAGGAGAGUGGAAUUCCUCGUGUAGCGGUGAAAUGCGUAGAGAUGUGGAGGAACACCAGUGGCGAAGGCGACUCUCUGGUCUGUAACUGACGCUGAGGAGCGAAAGCGUGGGGAGCGAACAGGAUUAGAUACCCCUGUAGUCCCUGUCUCUUAUAC
rnacentral:rRNA from 1 species